UACGUAGGGGGCAAGCGUUGUCCGGAUUUAUUGGGCGUAAAGAGCGUGUAGGCGGUUUGGUAGGUCCGCUGUGAAAUCCCCGGGCUUAACCUGGGAACUGCAUUGGUGACUGGCAGGCUUUGAGUGUGGCAGAGGGAGGUAGAAUUCCACGUGUAGCAGUGAAAUGCGUAGAGAUGUGGAGGAAUACCGAUGGCGAAGGCAGCCUCCUGGGCCAACACUGACGCUCAUGCACGAAAGCGUGGGGAGCAAACAGG
rnacentral:rRNA from 1 species